UUCCAGACUCCUACGGGAGGCAGCAGUGAGGAAUAUUGGUCAAUGGGCGCGAGCCUGAACCAGCCAAGUCGCGUGAGGGAAGACGGUCCUAUGGAUUGUAAACCUCUUUUGUCGGGGAGCAAAAGACGCCACGUGUGGCGUUCCGAGAGUACCCGAAGAAAAAGCAUCGGCUAACUCCGUGCCGGCAGCCGCGGUAAUACGGAGGAUGCGGGCGUUAUCCGGAUUUAUUGGGUUUAAAGGGUGCGCAGGCGGAAUGUCAAGUCAGCGGUAAAAUUUCGGGGCUCAACCCCGUCGUGCCGUUGAAACUGGCGUUCUUGAGUGAGCGAGAAGUAUGCGGAAUGCGUGGUGUAGCGGUGAAAUGCUUAGAUAUUGCGCAGAACUCCGAUUGCGAAGGCAGCAUACCGGCGGCGAUCUGACGCUGAGGCACGAAAGCGUGGGUAUCGAACAGGAUUAGAUACCCUUGUAGG
rnacentral:rRNA from 1 species